rnacentral:rRNA from 1 species
CCUACGGGGGGCUGCAGUGGGGAAUAUUGGACAAUGGGCGCAAGCCUGAUCCAGCAAUGCCGCGUGUGUGAAGAAGGCCUUCGGGUUGUAAAGCACUUUUAUCAGGAACGAAAAGCGUUGGAUUAAUACUCUGACGUGCUGACGGUACCUGAGGAAUAAGCACCGGCUAACUUCGUGCCAGCAGCCGCGGUAAUACGAAGGGUGCAAGCGUUAAUCGGAAUUACUGGGCGUAAAGCGUGCGUAGAUGGUUCGCUAAGUCGGAUGUGAAAGCCCCGGGCUCAACCUGGGAACUGCAUCCGAUACUGGCGGACUAGAGUGUGAUAGAGGAUGGCGGAAUUCCCGGUGUAGCGGUGAAAUGCGUAGAGAUCGGGAGGAACAUCCGUGGCGAAGGCGGCCAUCUGGAUCAACACUGACGUUGAGGCACGAAAGCGUGGGGAGCAAACAGGCUUAGAUACCCCUGUAGUC